GCUGAGCUCAGUUGCGAGAGUUUUUAACCCGAGUGGGGGCAUUAAAGUGAUGUGAACGCUGUUAUAGCGCUGCGGGCCUGGUCUGGGUGUGCUACUGUUGGCCCGCCCGUUCCAAGUUGAGUAGUGGACCGUCUGAGGCCUAUGCGAAAGCUGGGCCUCACGGUCCAUAAUGUGGCAGGCACAGCGAGACGCUGGCUUCACAGAGCAGCGACAACUGCCCACUUCCAACGGUGGAAGGAUAACGGGCCGCUGCACUCCUAGGCCACUUGGGCCUUGCAGCCUACUCCAACGAACCAUCAUUUUU
rnacentral:SRP_RNA from 1 species